AGUAAAUAGAUACCCGGGUAGUCCACGCCGUAAACGAUGUCGACUUGGAGGUUGUGCCCUUGAGGCGUGGCUUCCGGAGCUAAACGCGUUAAAGUCGACCGCCUGGGGAGUACGGCCGCAAGGUUAAAACUCAAAUGAAUUGACGGGGGCCCGCACAAGCGGUGGAGCAUGUGGUUUAAUUCGAUGCAACGCGAAGAACCUUACCUACUCUUGACAUCCAGAGAACUUAGCAGAGAUGCUUUGGUGCCUUCGGGAACUCUGAGACAGGUGCUGCAUGGCUGUCGUCAGCUCGUGUUGUGAAAUGUUGGGUUAAGUCCCGCAACGAGCGCAACCCUUAUCCUUUGUUGCCAGCGGUUAGGCCGGGAACUCAAAGGAGACUGCCAGUGAUAAACUGGAGGAAGGUGGGGAUGACGUCAAGUCAUCAUGGCCCUUACGAGUAGGGCUACACACGUGCUACAAUGGCGCAUACAAAGAGAAGCGACCUCGCGAGAGCAAGCGGACCUCAUAAAGUGCGUCGUAGUCCGGAUUGGAGUCU
rnacentral:rRNA from 1 species